rnacentral:lncRNA from 1 species
GCUGCCGCCGUCCCCCGCAGCCUGGCAGCCCGGCUCCGAGCCGACGCCGAUCCGACGCCGCCGGAUGAGGAUGAGGCGCCCGCAGGGAUCCCGCUGUCCCCGUCCCCCCCGUCCCCGUCUCCGUCCCCCCCGGGGUGACGCCGCAUCCCAAUAAACGCCGGUGUCCGGUGAAAGGGGGGGGGGGGGCCGCGGCCCCCGGCGUCGCCUUUAAUUCCCGCCGCGUCGCCGGGGCGGAAACGGCCCCGGAGAGACCCCCGGGACCCGCCGCCGGGAUUCGGGGCCGGGAACAAGUCCAGAGCCAUCGUUUGGGGUCAGGAGCCGGGAUUCGGGAUUCAGGGCCAGGAACAAGUCCGGAGCCACCGUUCAGGGUCAGGAGCCGGGAUUUGGGGCCAGGAGCUGGGAUUCAGGACUGGGAACAAGUCCAGAGCCACUGUUCGGGGCCGGGAGCCGGGAUUCAGGCCUGGGAAUUGGGAUUCGGGGACCGGAGCGAACCCGGAGCCACCGUUCGGGGCCGGGAGCUGGGAUUCAGGGCCAGGAACUGGGAUUUGGGGACCGGAGCGAACCUGGAGCCACCGUUCGGG